rnacentral:rRNA from 1 species
GCUAGCAGCCAUAUCUCCCUGCAACUCACAACUGGCGACCACUGAAACUAAGCAGGUGUGAGCAAUAUCAGUACCUGGAUGGGAGACCUUCUGGCAAAAACAAAAGGUUGCUGCUGGAA